AUACGGAGGGUGCAAGCGUUAAUCGGAAUUACUGGGCGUAAAGCGUACGUAGGCGGUGUGUUAAGCAAGAUGUAAAAGCCCCGGGCUCAACCUGGGAAUUGCAUUUUGAACUGGCACGCUAGAGUCCUGAAGAGGGUGGUAGAAUUUCCAGUGUAGCGGUGAAAUGCGUAGAUAUUGGAAGGAAUACCAGUGGCGAAGGCGGCCACCUGGUCAGAGACUGACGCUGAGGUACGAAAGCGUGGGGAGCAAACAGGAUUAGAUACCCUGGUAGUCCACGCCGUAAACGAUGUCAACUAGUUGUUCGUGUCACUAUGACGUGAGUAACGCAGCUAACGCACUAAGCUGACCGCCUGGGGAGUACGGCCGCAAGGUUGAA
rnacentral:rRNA from 1 species